rnacentral:rRNA from 1 species
GAUGAACGCUGGCGGCGUGCUUAACACAUGCAAGUCGAACGAUGAAGCCCAGCUUGCUGGGUGGAUUAGUGGCGAGCGGGUGAGUAACACGUGAGUAACCUGCCCUUAACUCUGGGAUAAGCCUGGGAAACUGGGUCUAAUACCGGAUAGGAGCGUCCACCGCAUGGUGGGUGUUGGAAAGAUUUAUCGGUUUUGGAUGGACUCGCGGCCUAUCAGCUUGUUGGUGAGGUAAUGGCUCACCAAGGCGACGACGGGUAGCCGGCCUGAGAGGGUGACCGGCCACACUGGGACUGAGACACGGCCCAGACUCCUACGGGAGGCAGCAGUGGGGAAUAUUGCACAAUGGGCGCAAGCCUGAUGCAGCGACGCCGCGUGAGGGAUGACGGCCUUCGGGUUGUAAACCUCUUUCAGUAGGGAAGAAGCGAAAGUGACGGUACCUGCAGAAGAAGCACCGGCUAACUACGUG